UGCAAGUCGAGCGGGCCCUUUCGGGGGUCAGCGGCAGACGGGUGAGUAACACGUGGGAACGUGCCCUUCGGUUCGGAAUAACUCAGGGAAACUUGAGCUAAUACCGGAUACGCCCUUUUGGGGAAAGGUUUACCGCCGAAGGAUCGGCCCGCGUCUGAUUAGCUAGUUGGUGGGGUAACGGCCUACCAAGGCGACGAUCAGUAGCUGGUCUGAGAGGAUGAUCAGCCUCACUGGGACUGAGACACGGCCCAGACUCCUACGGGAGGCAGCAGUGGGGAAUAUUGGACAAUGGGCGCA
rnacentral:rRNA from 1 species